GGGUUUGUGGCUCAGUGGUAGAGCAUUUGUUUGGCAUGAGGAAGGCCCUGGGUUCAAUCCCCGGCAUCUCCA
rnacentral:tRNA from 1 species